AUCCGGCGGGAUUUCGCAGCCCUCCUUGCCCGGGUUUAUGCCUUUAUUUUUCCCGUCGGUAAUCCAACCUUCGCCGCUUGAAUCCUAAUCCUUUUCAGUCUGAUCCGUUUGGGAAAGGCUGUUGCCUUCCCCUGCCCCGUGCUCACCUCCCUACAGGGUGUGGAGGGGAGCCAAUCCCUGGGGUAUGGAGCACCGGGCCGGGGGCGAGGAGCUCCGAAACGCUUCUGGUGGUGCUCGGGGAUGGGAAAACGGGACCAGCUCUGUCCCCGCUCUGAAUCCAAGCAUGAGGGACAAGGAGAAGGCCGGGCAAGGCGGCCGCUGGCCCGGAUGCCCCCGAACAGCAAGUCCCUGGGGUCUUGACCCAGCCUCUCCUUUCUCUGUGGCAGACGGCAGACAGCAUAAAAACACUUAAGGACAAGAUUGAAGGCUUUCCGAGAGAUCUGGACAGAAGUCAAAGCUAUCACUCGGAGGCUUGUUCCAAAUACCAAGAGAGAAAGAGAGAAGAAUAGAAGCGCACAGAUGCCCCGACGAAGGGAGAACAGCUCUGCUCCCAUUGUUGUGGAGUUAAACAGUGGAAGGGAGGGUUAACCUAAUCCAUCAAAUUGUCUGGAAAUUGUGAAGAAAAUUCAAAAACCAUAUGGUCUCCAAGCGCUCGCCUUCUCUCUGCUGCGGAGGGGCACGCUUGUUUCAGCAUGGCGAACCGCAGGAGGCUGUAUAUGCUCCAUUGUCGCUUGUCACUUCAGAGAAGAGGGCUCAUUUGUCCCCAGUUUUCAUGCUUUACGCUAAAAAUUACAACCCCAUCCAUUCUCAAAGAGGAGAAAGAUUUAUUUAGCCUCGGAGAAACUGGACCAAAAAAAAAAAAAGGGAAAAUCCAACCCACAAACCAAGCCUGUCUUAUCCGGACACUUCUCCGCUGAGCUCUGCCACUGUACACCAGAUUUGUCUUUCUCACAUAAAUUUUUUGCAAAGAAUAGGGAGAAACACACGUUGUUCGGCUCCAAGGGCAGGUCACGCUGCCAGGGGAAAACACAUUCACCAGAGCAGUGAUUUUGGAGAAAAGAAAAAAAAAAAAGGAGAGACAGGAGAAAAAAGAGGGGAGAAAAUAUAAAAGGAACGGGAGGAAAUGAAGCAUUUGCCACCCUUCUGUCCCCGGAGCAGCAGUUUUGGCCAGAACGGGAGGUCCGCCCCCCGUGCCCCUCACCGCUCCUUUUGUUCAGAACGAUGGUAACUCCUUCCCCUCGUUCGCAUUUGGGUUUUCUUUAUUUAUCCCCACACCACCACUAUUUCCUUUCUAAUUCCGGGCUGGAAAUACCCUGCUGGAGACGGGAGCUGCUGGGAGGGCCGAUGGCCCCGGUAGCCCAGGUACCCCCGCAGCUGUCCCGCAGCCGCCGCGCAUCCUCCGCCCCGGGAAGCGCCUCCCGCACCUCCUGCCCUCCCGUUCCGCUGUGUUCCGCCUCUGCCAAACCGCUCCCUAGCACCAACCUAACCAACAACCACAAAAAAUCUCCUAAAGAUCUCGGUCCCGUGCUCCUCCCCCGUC